rnacentral:misc_RNA from 1 species
GGCGUAUAAGUUUUAAUCUUUAUUCUAUAACUGCUAGUUUUACGUGUAGCUUGGAGAAAAAGUACAUUAUAGUCAGUCUUAUUUGCAAAUAAGCAUCGAAAAAAAACUUAGAUUUCAUAUUUUUUUUUCAAAACAUUAUAUAAUCCAAUCAUUUUGCUGUUGUGUUUUUCAAAAUCUUUUUUCAUUCAUUUUUCUUUUUUAAAAAGAAAUGAAAUUUUAUUUCUUUUUGAAUGUAUUUAACCAUUUGUGCUUUAGUUUUGUAUAUUCAGAAUAAAUAUAGAGGCAAUAAGUAACAAAUCUGUUUUAUUUUAUCUGUAGUUGAAUGUAAUUUAAAUUUUUUGAAGAUUGUAUGGUCACCAAAAUUCAUGUAUAUAACUGAAUUGAAUUUCUUAGUGUUGAAGCUUAUCUUUUAUCUGCAAUUUUUAGUCUUUAAUUAAUAGUCUUCUUUCCCCAAGUUUUGUUUAAUAUAUUCUCACGUGAACUACUCAUAAGCUUGGAAGGUAGAAAAUAUAACACCACCUCCUUCAUGUUAUAUUGAGGUCUUUAAAAUCAUCAUUUUUUUUAAAGUUUGAAAUACGUGUAUUUUAGCAUCAUGUUUUUAGAAAAUGGCAAUUUAAUAUCCAAAGUCAAGUUUUGAGGUUAGAGAGAGAAGAGCGUGGACAAGUUUUGCAUAAAUUGUGGAGGCGAACUUUGACGUUUUAUAAAUCAUUGUUAGAGAUCAUUGUAAAUAUGAUGCCACCGAGGAACUAUUUUCAUUUACCCUUUAUUUUCGCAUAAUUAUCGUUUUCUCUCCCAAGUGUAAUAAUCAUGUUACACCUCUUGAUCGUAGGAUCAUAACACUACGUGACUCUUUAAGUGCCAAGGUUUUAACACCAAUACAAUAUGUGAUCAUAAAACGUAAUGAAAACAGUUCCAUAGGCAAUCCCACUUUAUGAUCCCGGUACACAUGUACUCGGGCUAGCUGAACUUGGUUUUCUUUUUGUAAUUUACUGUUACGUAAUUAAAAGUUAUUAUAUAUAG